GAUGAACGCUGGCGGCGUGCCUAAUACAUGCAAGUCGAGCGAACAGACGAGGAGCUUGCUCCUCUGACGUUAGCGGCGGACGGGUGAGUAACACGUGGAUAACCUACCUAUAAGACUGGGAUAACAUCGGGAAACCGGAGCUAAUACCGGAUAAUAUAUUGAACCGCAUGGUUCAAUAGUUAAAGACGGUUUUGCUGUCACUUAUAGAUGGAUCCGCGCCGCAUUAGCUAGUUGGUAAGGUAACGGCUUACCAAGGCAACGAUGCGUAGCCGACCUGAGAGGGUGAUCGGCCACACUGGAACUGAGACACGGUCCAGACUACUACGGGAGGCAGCAGUAGGGAAUCUUCCGCAAUGGGCGAAAGCCUGACGGAGCAACGCCGCGUGAGUGAUGAAGGUCUUCGGAUCGUAAAACUCUGUUAUUAGGGAAGAACAAAUGUGUAAGUAACUAUGCACGUCUUGACGGUACCUAAUCAGAAAGCCACGGCUAACUCCGUG
rnacentral:rRNA from 1 species